rnacentral:tRNA from 1 species
GGUUGUGGCUCAGUGGUAGAGUGCUUGCCUAGCAUGCAAGAGGCACUGGGUUAAAUCCCCGGCAUCA